rnacentral:rRNA from 1 species
GACGUAGGAGGCGAGCGUUGUCCGGAUUCAUUGGGCGUAAAGAGCACGCAGGCGGUUUGGCAAGUCGGAUGUGAAAUCCCGGAGCUCAACUCCGGACCUGCAUCCGAAACUGCCCGACUAGAGGUAGGUAGGGGAGAUCGGAAUUCCUGGUGUAGCGGUGAAAUGCGCAGAUAUCAGGAGGAACACCGGUGGCGAAGGCGGAUCUCUGGGCCUUACCUGACGCUCAGGUGCGAAAGCUAGGGGAGCGAACAGG